rnacentral:rRNA from 1 species
UUAGCCUACGGGGCGCAGCAGUGGGGAAUAUUGCGCAAUGGGGGAAACCCUGACGCAGCAACGCCGCGUGCAGGAAGAAGGUCUUCGGAUUGUAAGCUGUUGUCGCAGGGGAAGAAGACAGUGACGGUACCCUGUGAGAAAGUCACGGCUAACUACGUGCCAGCAGCCGCGGUAAUACGUAGGUGACAAGCGUUGUCCGGAUUUACUGGGUGUAAAGGGCGCGUAGGCGGAUGUGCAAGUCAGUCGUGAACUACCGGGGCUCAACCCCGGGGCUGCGAUUGAAACUGCACACCUUGAGUAUCGGG